UUGACCUGCCCACUUGAUGACUUCAGCAUUGGCUUCAAGGUUCAGACUCCCUCCCUUUGGGGUCCUGUCUGUGGCUCCCCUACUGUGCUCCCUCUCCAGGCUGUGCUCUCUUCCCCAAGAGGACCUUUAAGGCCCAGGAGCCAGUGAGGAGAGGCAGAGGAGAAUGCACACGGCCCCAAGAGGCUGCCGACCCCCUGACGUAGGCUCACUCUGCAAAUGUGGGAGUUGGUGACAAGGGAGAAACCCGGGUCUGAAGUGGACAGGAGCAGGAAGUCACAGGUGGGACACCUCAGCCCUAACAGCCCACCUAGAUUUGUUACUUUCCUCACCACACCACUGAAAUGUGCUUCUCAACCCCCAGCCCCGUCAACAGCUGUGGCUUGAUCUGUGCGUCCCUGACCCUAAGGACUGGCUUCUGUCUGGGAUCUAUCUGGGCAAAACCUCCAGGCAGCACUGACAAGGUACCUGAGCACCUGUGUGAUACCACCUCUCCUUUCUCCUCUCAGGACCUGGUGGUCCUGCCUCUCUCCUGCUCUUCCUGUGGCAUCCAAGUAUCCUCCUUUCUGCUAGUCCCAGGUGAUCUAUCCAGAAAACUCUCUCUGGAGCCAGAACAAAGUCAGGGGAACUUCCACUCCUAAUGUGAAGGAAAGAGCGGUCAGGACCACAUGAUGAGUGGGUUUCUCUGUCCUCUCUUCACACACUCUCUGGGCAGAAAAACUGGUACCCAGGUGUCCACCAAGUUCACUUUCUUCUGGGCUACCCAGACCCUGCCUGCAGUCCCCUCUAUCUUUCUGGCCCCAAACCAACCCAGCCUCAAUCCUUUGUUGCCAGAGUAACAGCCUUUCUUCUGCCUGGGAUGCCAGCGGGGAAUCUACUGGGCACUGGGGAUUUUCUCAGGUUGAAGGACUGACACCGUGUGUGUGGGGGCCUAGGUCUCAAUUCCUAAGGCUCUGCCAGCAGCCUAGGUUUCCUCAGACUCUGUGUCUAAGGUCUCGGUUUCCUGAGCACCUGUCCUGGUUGCCAUGGCAACCGUGCACUUGCUGAGCAUGAUUGGUAACCAGCCGUGUGGCCACCCCUAGAACCUUAAGAUCUUGGAGGCCACCAGAUGGGCAUGACUGAACAUAGACCUUCCCCAUCAGGGAAGGUCUGUCACACAACAGGACCUCUCCACAGUCACCCCAACCCCUGUGCUGUCAUGGCUUCCCCUUCCUUCUCCCCCGACAGAGCGACCUGCACCUAGUCAUCCUCUGUAAUCCCAACACCAGGCUCCCUUCCCCAAUGCCUCCAACACCUGUCUCCCACCAUGCCCACCCUUUCUCCUCCUGCCUUCACCCCAGUUUCCCUUGGCAACUCCCUGGAGCCUGGAGAAGCCUUCAAAGGAAGAAAUAGUCCUUCAUGGCUAGAUCCUUCCCACCACAGGGCCUCCAAUCCCAGCCCCCUAGGGACAGAGUGCCACCGAGGUGAAGGUGUGAGCGAGAUCCUGGGGGACACAGUGGACUGAGCCUGAGGUGCGGCCCAGACCUUUCCCCCAGCUGUAUGAGUGUUCUGGAGCUGCUGUAACAAAUUUCCACCAACUUGGUGGCUGAAAACAACAGAAAUUCAUUCUCUCAGGGUUCUGGAAACCAGAAGUUGGCAAUCAGUUUCACUGAGCUGAAAUCAAGGUGUGAGCAAAGCUGUGCUCCCUUCCAGACCUCUAGAGGAGAAUCCGUUCCUGCGUCAUCCAGCCUCUGGUGGGCGCACCACUCCAAUCUCUGCCUUUGUCACACUGUCCCUUUUUCUUCUGUAUCAAGUCUCCUGCUGCUUCCCUCUUUUAAAAAAACUUGGGAUUGGACCUGACAUCUUUGGCAGAUCAUCAUUACACCAGCCUUCCCCCAAAUACACAGCAUUUCCUGAGAAGAUAAAGGAUGUGAAAAGAAACUGAAAAGUGGCACACAAACAUGUCUGUUGACUAAGUAUUAACCACUCUGGGAGAGCCUUAGGAGAGUUGAACCCAAGUUAGUACUUUUUACACAAGAAGAAAGAGGCUCACAGAACUGAGAGGACCUGCCCCCAGGAACGGCGAGAGCUCCAGUCUCUUGCCCUGCAGUCCAGGGUUCCAGGAUAUGUCCACAAAGCCUUUCUUUUUUAAAACUGUACUCAACAUAAACAUUUAUUGUUUAUA